GUUUCUUUGCUUUGCAAAAACAGUCAGAUAAAUAUCAUUCUGGGAGUGAUCUUCCUAACUCUUCUCUGCCCACCACCCCCAACACACACACACACACACACACACACACACACACACACGAAUAUGUUCAUGCUGUUUCGUUCUUUCUGAGUCCAUGACUCCGAUUUCUUUUUUUUUUUAUUUUCCCUUCUGAAACAGGUUAGCAUCUUACUGGAGGAAAACAGCCAAGUGGUGAGUUACAGAGAAGUGUCUCAGACGCUGGGCCCUCUGCACCGUUUCCCCCACAGAAGACAGUCAUCUUUAAAACAUAAAGUCCCUAAGGAAAAAAAAAGAAAGAAAGAAGAAAGAAAGAAAGAAAGAAAGAAAGAAAGAAAGAAAGAAAGAAAGAAGAAAGAAAGAAAGAAAGAAAGAAAGAAAGAAAGAAGAAAGAAAGAAAGAGAAAGAAAGAAAGAAAGAAAGAAAGAAAGAAAGAAAGAAAGAAAGAAAGAAAGAAAGAGAGACCAAGCAGUGAGGAAGUGGUGCCUAGGUGGGAGAAGAAAAAGCAUGUUGGGAGUUUGUUGAUAUCCAUCAACAAGGAAGGAAGGGAGUAUCCAUGAGCUUGUGUAAGAUGGCAGACAUCAUCUGAGAUUUCUGGCUACAAUGGCAGUCAGAUGGCAACUGGAUAAGCAAGGAAUGCAUUAACAUGUUCUUUGUUGGGUGAGUUUAAGGCUAUGGUAGGUGGAGCAGUAGCUGGCCCAUGGUGUCAGACCCCUUCCUGGGAAGGGCUCCUGAGGGUGGUGUCAGAAGGUCCUUGGUAGCUAGCACAGCACUUGCAUUCACAGCAACAAUUGUAGAAGGUACAAACAAAUUCCCAGAUAGAGAUGGUACUAUGAGGGGAUAGUAAGCAAGGAUCUAGGCCAGUAUUUAUCACCCUAUAAUCCCUGGUCUAGCUGUAUCAAAGCACCUGGGCAGAUUUCUGGACCCUGGUCAUUAGCUCUAUGUUUUAAGGAGCAUAGCCUGAGAAUAUACAUUUCAAUCACGAUCUUCUAGGGAAUUUGAAGGCCUAAAGAGCUGAAGAGGUGAUAUGAACUGUACAUCUAAGACUCCAGAGGCUAGUAAAUUCAGGGAAGUGAACUGACUUAUUCACCAAAUUUAACUCUAGGAGGAAGUACCAUUUCUGGGCUCAAGCUGAAGGGGAAAAUCUUAGGUUUGUACCUUAAGAGGGCUGCAUCUUUUAGAAGAUAAUUUAAGGCCUCAAGCACAUGACCAGCUUUUCCCUUGGCACUUUUGCAUAAUUUUAGGGCUGAACUGGAGAGACCAUAGAUAUAGCUGCAAGCCUUUGAAAAUCAGAGAAUUUGGCAAUCUUGCAAGGCAAGGACCUGCCAGGGAGGGGAACUGUGCAUAAUACACCAGGUGCUCAGUUGAAAACCUUAAAAGCCAGAGAGAAACAAAAAGUAUAUUAAAAUCAAAUCAUGAGGGCUGAAACAGAGUUGUGAUAUAACACCACAUCUAUUAGUCUAAG
rnacentral:lncRNA from 12 species